rnacentral:lncRNA from 1 species
UUUUUCUUCUUCUUCAUCCAUGCUCCACACCAUUCUUGAAGCUUCCAUGCCAUUUUCUCUUUAUCCACCAUGAAAUCAAGUUUUCUUCACUUUCCUUUCUGUGUUUUCUUUUCCUUUCUUCUCCAAACUUCUUGAGCAUUAAAUUUACAGCCUUUAACCCUAAUUUCCAGCACACCAAAACCCUAGGAGGAGAAGAAAGAAAAAGAGAGAAAGGAAGAAAAAGCUUGGUUUUGGUGAUUCAAGCAAGGAAUGAUAAGAAUUAUUGUUUUUGGCUUGAGUAGUCUUUGAAAAUGAGUUAGUGACUUAGAGAAAUAUCUUGUCGCGGCAAAGAUUGGCUUGAUUGGAGAAAAAUUGGUAACAUGUAAGCCAAUAAACCCAUGGGUACAUGAAAGACUCAAAGUGAAAAAGGAAAACGGUAAGCUUAACACUAUGUUUUUAAGCCAACAGUUAGUUGAAUAUUGUGAGGAAUUAUGGUUGUUGAAAGGAUUUAUUUGCCUAAGCUAGUUGAAAAUUAUUAAGAUUGUAUGGCAUGUUGUUUGAAAGAAAUGAAAAAGGAAUAUUGUGGAUGGAGGAUUGAGAAACAAAGUAUUGAAAGUUAGAUAGAUAACAAUGCAUGUAAACUAGGAAAUAAUCGAGUGAGAGUGAGAAUGAUUGUUGCUGCCAUAUAUGUAGAUUAUGUGUGGGAAUAUAAGAUGGAUUUGGGUGAAAAUUAUUUAUGAAGGUUGAAGUAGACACGUGACAUCAUAAUUAAGUUGUCGGUAAUAUAAUUUAAGGAAUUACGUAAGCAAUGGAUAUAAGUAAUUUUAGUAAAAAUGUAUUAAGAUGUGAGUUAAUUGAAAAUGGUUUCAUGAUAGGAUGAAAAAUAUAAAUUUGAGUAAGGAUUAAUUGAUUGAAGUGCUGCUCGUAUACGUAUAUAAUUAAAUAUGUUGAAUUCAUAUUAUUGUUAAGAAGUGCAAAGAUAAGGUUAGAGUACCGUGGUAGCGUGACGAGCGAUCGGCUAGUGAAAAUAGUUAGAGACACCUCCGAACAAAUAGCAACUUAAUAUCUCGUUGUUGCCAGAUGAGUGAACUUGCAUUAAAAUGUUUUGGGAUAUACACGUUUAUGUGUGAUUGAAUUCUCUAAAACGUUUUAUUGGUUUUUCUUCAACAAAUUGCAUGAGAACAAGCCUUUAUGAAAUGUUUUAUGUUAUGAAAUGGAUAGUGUGAUGAAUUCAUAUGUUUAUGUGUAAUGUGGAUGUAUAUGUAUAUAUAUACUAUGUCAUAAAUGGUACCAUUGUGUGACAAAUGCAACCGUGCAUGUGCGGGGUGAGGUGCAUUUGCCGGUGAUGACAGUGGUGAGGGAGAUGAAUGGUGACACUGCCCGUGUGCAUGAUGUGGGGAGAUGUACACGAUGGCAUUAUUUUGUGCACGAUGUGGGGGGAUGCACACGAUGACUCCGACUAUGUGCACGAUGUGGGGGGAUGCACAUGAGCUAGGUGAGAUGGGAUGUCCGGCUAUGUGCACGAUGUGGGGGGAUGCAUAGGAGCUGGAUGAGAUGUGGUGAUAUAUUAGUUGAUAUAUGCUUAAGUAUAUGUAUAUACAAUAGAAAGAUUAUGAUUAUAAUAUGUGAUUAUAUGGCAUGAUGAAUCUUGAAAAUUUCCCAUUUACUUGUGAAUUGAUUUUAUUGCAGCAAGAAACAUUCUGUUUAUACUGCCUUGCUUGGAUGAUUGUUGAAAAUUUCCUCUCUUUCCAAUUUCAUGUUGAAUAUGGUUCCUUCAUCAUUAAAUGAUUUAAUAAUCAGGGGUUAAAUUGAAGGAUUUUAAUAAGAACUUGAACUAAGUUGUAUUGUUUUCAAACUUAAGUGCAUCAUGAUUUCUAAGCUUCCUUAACAUUGCUUGUUCCCUUCCUAUGUUCACUCACUGAGUUUGUACUAACGUUUUUAAAAUUCAUGUUUUAGGUUUCCUAAGUUAAAGGUGAUUGGAUCCUAGGACGAGGUGCUUCUCCCUAUACAUUGCUCGAUAGGUUUAACGUAACACUAAAUGUUAGCAACCAUGCCCAGAGUCACUUCGCUGACAGUCAAGUUCUAAUUACUUGUAUAUGACUAUUUGUUAUGAAAUGCUGAGAUUCACUUGUCAAAUUAUGUGUAUGUAUAUAAUGGUUGAUGAUGC